rnacentral:rRNA from 1 species
AUACGUAGGUGGCAAGCGUUGUCCGGAUUUACUGGGUGUAAAGGGCGUGUAGGCGGGUGCCUAAGUCAGACGUGAAAUACCGGGGCUCAACCCCGGGGCUGCGUUUGAAACUGGGUGUCUUGAGUGCAGGAGAGGAUAGCGGAAUUCCUAGUGUAGCGGUGAAAUGCGUAGAGAUUAGGAGGAACACCAGUGGCGAAGGCGGCUAUCUGGACUGUAACUGACGCUGAGGCGCGAAAGUGUGGGGAGCAAACAGGAUUAGAUACCCUGGUAGUCCACACCGUAAACGAUGGAUACUAGGUGUCGGGGGUAUCGAGCCCCUCGGUGCCGCAGUUAACACAAUAAGUAUCCCACCUGGGGAGUACGAUCGCAAGGUUGAAACUCAAAGGAAUUGACGGGG